rnacentral:rRNA from 1 species
AACGAACGCUGGCGGCAGGCUUAACACAUGCAAGUCGAACGCACCUUCCGGGAUGAGUGGCAGACGGGUGAGUAACGCGUGGGAAUCUACCCUUCUCUACGGGAUAGCUCCGGGAAACUGGAAUUAAUACCGUAUACGUCCUGAUGGAGAAAGAUUUAUCGUGGAAGGAUGAGCCCGCGUUGGAUUAGCUAGUCGGUGGGGUAAAGGCCUACCAAGGCUACGAUCCAUAGCUGGUCUAAGAGGAUGAUCAGCCACAUUGGGACUGGGACACGGCCCAAACUCCUACGGGAGGCAGCAGUGGGGAAUAUUGGACAACGGGCGCAAGCCUGAUCCAGCCAUGCCGCGUGAGUGAUGAAGGCCGUAGGGUUGUAAAGCUCUUUCAGUGGGGACGAUAAUGACGGUACCCACAGAAGAAGCCCCGGCUAACUUCGUG